AUGCCUACGGGGGGCAGCAGUGGGGAAUUUUGCGCAAUGGGGGAAACCCUGACGCAGCAACGCCGCGUGCGGGACGAAGGCCCUCGGGUCGUAAACCGCUUUCAGCAGGGAAGACCACGACGGUACCUGCAGAAGAAGCUCCGGCUAACUACGUGCCAGCAGCCGCGGUAAUACGUAGGGGGCGAGCGUUAUCCGGAUUCAUUGGGCGUAAAGCGCGCGUAGGCGGCCGCCUAAGCGGAACCUCUAACCCCGGGGCUCAACCUCGGGACUGCUCUGGAAACUGCGGCGCUGGAGUACGGGAGGGG
rnacentral:rRNA from 1 species